GGAUAUAGCUCAGGAGGUAGAGUGCUUGUCUCAAAUGCACAAGGCCCUGGGUUCAAUCCCCAGCACCA
rnacentral:tRNA from 1 species